UAUUAUACUGCAAACUUCAAUCUAUAUCGUCUCAUUAACCAUUAUUCAAAUUUCUCAUGUCAUUCUCUGCCUAGAAGUUUAAGCAAAUGCGAUGAUCUUCCUGUGGGUGUGGCUAACAGUGGGGUGUGUACUAACAUGCUAACCCAAAAAAUAAAAUAAAAAAUGGGAUGAUCUCCCCAUUUCUUCUACACUUGUUUGAACUUCAAUUCUAUCAUAUGAUGGACCCAACACUAGAUGGAGUAGUGCUAGGUAUCUGUAGGUGGGGCACUAUUGUUCCUUGAACACACACUUGUGUACAAUUCACAAAAAUAAUGUCACCUAAAAUUCAAUUCCCAGUUUUUUCUUUCCCUUAUCAUUGUUUGUGGGUGUGAAUGGGAGAGAGAGGUAUUGGUAUUGGGUUCUCAACAUUUAUUAUUGUACUAGAAUUGCAUGUACUGAAGUUCUACGAUUUUUUUUUUGCCAUGUUGGUACACAAUACAUGUUUUGUAUUGCCAUGCAGUUUCUACAUAUUGGGCUGGUACAUAUGUAAAUGUGAGUUGCUAUGUACGACCUAUAUCAGUUUUUUUUUUUUUUUUUCCCCAAGAAAGCUUUGCUUUGAGGAUAGGAGGAAAGGAAAAGGUGAGAACUGUAGAAUUUUAGUUUGGAAAGGGUUAUUGGAUGUUGCUAGAAGUUCACUUUGGAGCUUAGGCCUUUUAAUUGAUGGUCUGAGUAGUUCACCUGCAAGAGAGUGCCUAUUGGCUAUUGCUACAUCAGAUUUCUACAUGAAGUUCGUCACCAUUGAGUGUCAUAGCCAUCAAACCUUCAUGAAAGUUCUAUAUAUAAGAGCAGUGUUAAGCUAGGAGACUAUAAUAAAGCUACUCUAUAACCUGUCAACCGAUAAUUUCAAAACAUAUUCUACUCGUCAGAAUGUCUGGUGUGAAAUUUAUCAAACACCUUACUUUAACGUCCUAAAGCUAAAGCAUGUCAUGAAUGAUGAAACUGUUCCUGCUAAAAUCAAAAUCUUCCAGAAGCAGAUGUAAGUAUAAAGUUACUGGAACAAGGGUUUGCAUGUUGAGUGGGUAAAACUGAUUUCAUUUGAACAGACUUUUCUAAAUGAAUUUUAACCAGGGAUUAGCACAAUGGCUAGGAUAAUUUUCUUGGCUAAUGCAAGUAAUGUGAAGCUUUUAACUCUGACAGAAUUGAGUUGCUUUGAAUGGUUCUCAAGUCCUGAGUCAGAAAAACACCUUAUUAGUCAUUGGAAACCUUGCUUUUUUAAUUUUAUUUUUCUAUAUCUAUGUAAUAAAUUAUUCAAAUUGAUUUCUGAAUAAUUCCUUUUAACUAAAAGACACAAUAUCUUCUAUCAAGGAUUCAAGGGGGAAACCAAUGCCUCAAGCUACCCUACAAUUAACUGUGCAAAGACGUAGCCAAGCCUGGCUGUGGGUACUGGACAGGAUCUUCUGAUGUACAGCUGCCACCUGUUGGCAUCUCUGUUUCCUUUGCAGUGACCAGCCAGUUAGUCAGGCAUACCCUCUAUCUGGGUCUGAUCAGAUCAUACGUGAACCAAUUCCUACCCAAUUAAAAAGUUGUCAAGCUUGAGACCACCCCAUUAAGCAAUUUCUACACAGAGAGAAAUCAUUUGGUAAGUAUUUCCUUGAGCAUGACAUUUAAUGUUUGUGGGUGCUUUGUGCUUAGCGGUUUGCCAGGAAACUUCUACUCCAUGUCCUUUGCUUGCUUAUCCUUUGGCACAUGCAUGUGGUGUUGGGCUGAGGGUCAGUAAUGGGUGGAACCAUGUUGGCACAUGAGCAGAAUUAAUGUGAGCAUCUGUCAUGACUGGUUCCAAGAGCCAGUUAAAAGAGGAAGGUUGAUAUCUAAUGGAGAACCAGUUGUAAAACUUUUGCAAAUCUACCAUUUAAAAGCCGACCCCAAACUGUUGGGAGAAAUGUAAGAUGAUGACAAUGACGAUUAUGAUAUUAAUGGUACGAAAAUGCACACACACACACAGACACACACAACGUGUAUACAACAGUAUGCCUUAUUACUACUAUGGUCUGGGCCAUGCCCAACUUGACCUGACCCAAUAGACAAAUGAACUUGAUUUGAGCCUAGUUUGAAUAGUAAUUGAUCUUAAACUUUUGGACCCAUCCCCAGCCUGGUGGGCCUAAGAAUCUAGACCCAAGACUGAUAGUGACAUGCCAAGCCUGAAUACCUGAUGGGCUGGCCCAAACCAUUGACACCCUCAUAGAAAUGUCUCAACUUUGAUUAAUAAGCAUCCUUUUAACAGUAUUUGUCAUCUUCUUUUUGAUAGGAUUAGUAGAAUAAAUGUUGGGUUAGUUUGGUUGUUUUGCUUAUUAGGGGAGGUUAUUUUUGUGGAGUUUGUUUUGCCUCUGUCCCGAAUCAGGAUCCAGCAUGUUUCACCACCCAUCAUUGCUCACAUGCUGAGAUGGUCUGACAAUUUGAACUGUCCAUAUUAUUGUUACUCCCAUAAAUAAGAUAUUGUCCCAUAAUCCUGCACCAAUGAUGAUUCUGAACUUUGGUUUUUAGAGUUGAUGGGAGUCGUUGAAGAUUUUCUUUUCACUGUUCUAAAUUCAUCUACAGAUAGUGAUGUUCACAAUCAUCCAUUCAGCUUAAUUUUCAUAAGAGCAUGUAUAUCAUAUUGUCCACAACAUGGACAGUUCCAAUCAUCCGACCACUCAGAACGUGGGUCCCAUGGGUGGCGGCACCUGCUGGUCCUGGAUCAUGAUAGAGACAAAAGGAACUCAUUUUUAUGUUGCGCCUCUAAUCAAACACACAGUCAUGUGUGCAUGGAUUUGUCAUGUGCAGAUUUUGGUCGUGUUGCUUGUCCUCAUUUUUUUAAACAACAAUAAUAUUAUAACUCAGGGGCCGAAGCAAGCAUUUGUGUUGCUUGUCCUCAUUCCCACAGUUAUGUCUCUUUGGUACUACUUUUUAAUAUGUUAAAGACAUUUUUUCAAACAAAUUAAACAGAUGUUCGCAUUCAUUGGAUUUUGGGUAUAGCAUGCAUUUGUGCAAUGGUUUUGAAUAUGUACAUAAUCUGCGAGUCUCCUGCUCGUUAGAUGAGCUGGUAGAGACAAUGUAAUGUGUGUGAGUGAUCCAAGGUUCAAUCCCUGGUAGUGUUACCUUUAAAAAAUAUAUACAUAAUCUGUGACUUUUCCAUUAUCUAUUCCAUUGAUUUGUGACCAAAGAUGAGGCAGAUUUGGACAUCCAUGGAGGGUCUUGAAACUACCUCCCUUUUUUAUUGCUUCAAACUGGUUUCUUUUUUAUUCUUGAGAUGACUAGGAUGCAAUUCAAGUCCGAUAGAUCAUUUGUAUUUUAUAAAACAAUCAUUCACUCUUUCAGUUUUCUGUGAAUUCUACGAAAAUAUCCUGAAACAUUGUCUUCACACUAGGAUUGAUGAUGGAGAAAUUUCCUUGCAAAUAGAAUAUUAUUUCAAACAUAUCGAGCAAGUUGCAGUCUUAAUCCUUGCAAAACUAGAAUCUUCUCACAUUCUCCAAACAGGGAACAGUUCCCUUGUUCCAAACUAAACUGCCUCAUUUGAGGAUAAGUUCAUUUCGAAUGCAAAACUGAAAAGGAACAUCUCGAUCAUGAUCAUUUAUUGGGCUCUUGUAAGGCCUGAAUUCCAUGGUUGCUCUUUUUUGUCCUCUCGGGGGAUUGGGAUGGCGACUUUGGAGACCCCAACCAAUGGUUUUGAUGUAGCAGGGGUUCUGUUUUUUAGCUAUCUCAAUAUUGGUGUUGCACUUUUGUUUUGAUCUGGUGAUGAGAGUGUCGCUCCUGUGGUGUGAUGUGUGUUUGUGUGUGUGCGCGUUUUUUUUUUUUCCAAAUUUUUGGGUUAAUGAAAUUUAGUUAUCUUUCAAAAGAAGAAGAAGAAGAAAGAAAGAAAGAAGAAGAAAACAAUAAACUGCAUCAUGCCCUACCAAUAGUUUCUCUGACUCAAUUGUUGGUGGUGUGAUUCAUUUAUCAUUUGUGGUCAUAUAUGCUCCUUACUCUGCUUGUAGAUCACAGAAGUGCUGUAGUUAUUUGCAUGAGGAAUUUAAUAGGCAAUUUGCCAAAAAAGUGUGAACGUCAUACACGUUUUCACCAUCAGGGCCCAUCAUAGUCAUUCCCUGGGUCAAAAUCAGAACGAUCUACUCAUCAGGUUCUCCAAUGUGUAUGAGAAAAUGGAUGGUUAGAAAAUAAGAUGACUAGUGAUUUUUAUAUUUCAAUGUAGAUUUGCAGCUCACCUCAUGAGUAGACCUGGAUUUUUGGAUAAGACGUGUUACCGGUGAAUGAUCUUGUAAGAUCACUAAAUUUUACUAAAGAAGAGAUGGCAAGCGACAACUAGGGAAGCAGAAAUGAGGAGUAAAUCAUGAGUUACCUCUUGUUACUCUCUCUUUUGCAAGUGAAUCAGCUAUUUUGUUUGCACCCCUUAUGUUAUUAGAGAUACUAUUCACAGUUGAAUAGAGAACUCUAAUUCCCAAAAUGGCAAAAUUUAAUUUCCACAAAUUGUAGUUGGAUCUAUUUAGCUUUCAGGAGAAUGUGGAAUUCUCACCCCUUUCACCUAUUGUCUUCUUUUCUUGAUAAGUAACACAUUCAAACUUCUACUAAAACAAUUAGGCUGUGGUUUGAGAAAUCUACUCCCCAGGCACCCAAACUUUUGACAUGAGAAAUGGUUCCAAGAUAUUACAAACACUGUCUCUGAUACUGCUUGUUGAGUCAUGUAGCUUAGAGCUAUCUAACUCUCACAAUCAAAAUCGUCGCCAUCAUAGCCAUCACGACCUUGACUAGCUAUUACGUGGCUUUACGGUCCCGUUUCACCUAUCAUCAAGAUUUGAAAGAGGAAUCCUCAUGAUUUCCUAGAAAAAGUUCAACUGGUUGUCUACCUGGGUUGGGGCUGUCUGGCACAUCACUACCCAUCGGAAUUUGAUUCUCAGUAUGUAUCUGUGUGUGUGUGUGCAUUGCAAUUCCUGUUCAUGCUUCCAGAGGCAUUGGACAUGCACACAAAAGGAUACACACAUGUGCAUGCACACCCAAGCAGUUAGACACCACAAUUCAAACUAAUCUAUUUACUAAAUCUGAGUUCAUCUGGAUAUUUGGAGAUGCACCAGUUCUUGUCUCUCAUAUCUGUACAUUGGUUCUAAAUCAUUUUGUUUUUAGUUUCCCACAUUCCUUUUGUUGUGCAAAUCUAACAAAGCCAUUUUCAGCGUGAGUGCACCUAGACAUUUGAAGCGACUCAUACCCUCCUCAUGACACACUAGGAUCAACCAUCCAAACCAGUACUUCAGUGAAAGACAAAAACUACAGUUGAAGGUGUACUGUACACCUGGUGCCUAUGCAAUCUUCUGCCUCUCAAUUAAAUUCUCUUUUCAGCCAUAUUGGAGGAACGACGUCCAAUAGCUUGAGUGUGGCGUACACCAUGCGAAGAGGAAUGCAGACAGGAUUCGCUUGCCUGGAAUUUGAGGUUUUCUGCAUCUUAAAUGUGCCGACACUACAUGUGCACUAGAUCCAGGAUUUUUCAGAAUGCGGGGUCCGCCACCAACAUGCCCUGGCACGAAAAUAGGCUGGUCAUUCACCAGGUUCUGUGAAGCUGGUUAUGCCUGCAGCUGUCUUUCAUGGAGAUUGUUAUCUGAUGCCAUUUGCAGCAUUCCUCUUUAAAGAAACAGCUAGAGGAAAACAUGGAUAGUUGGUGGGAUCAUAUGAGGUGGGCCACUUUCUGGAAGUGGCUAUUGGUGGAACCCCCAAAGUGUGCAAAUCCACAUCAGCAUCCAUUCACUUCAGUGAUUCUGAUUCCAAUAGUGGUGGGUCCCACCCUUAGUGGAUUUACAUUAUUAACUGAUAUCCCUUAAAUCUAUUAGAUUCUAAAUGGCAUUGGUGUUGUUGGAUCGUCUUAUUUUUCUAUUAUAUUCGAAUUUUCUAACUCUGAUCCAAGUGCUUCACGUGUAUUGUCAUC